rnacentral:misc_RNA from 1 species
CAACUGCGAUAUGUAGUGUGAACUGCAGAAACCUUGAACACAGAACAUUCGAAUGCACAUUGCGCCAUUGGAGUGACAUCCUUUGGCACGCCUGGUUCAGGGUCGUUAUCCUAAAAUGCACAGCGUGUGCGUGUACAAACUGCUUGAUCAACGCGUGAGACCAUACGCUGUUGUUCUCGCAUCCAUUGUGAUUGCGCGCCUAGGUGUGUGCUCGAGAGAUGUCGGCAUGGACUCGUUGCAGAUUGUUGCUGUCCAUGUCUUACGCAAAGUAACUUGGGCAUCACUCGCACUCGCUUAAGGUAGCCAAAUGCUUCGGCAUCUAAUUAUAGUCACAUUUUCGACCUGAACUCAGACGUGAACACCCGCUGAACUUAA